UUAAGUUCAGCGGGUAACCCUACCUGAUCCGAGGUCAAACCAUCAAAAGAUUUGGGUUCGACGGCUGGCCUUCGCCGGGUUCCCGAUGCGAGGUUAUAAUUACUACGCAGGGGGCGCCGCGGCUGGACCGCCACUACAUUUCGGGGACUGCGGGGGCGGGGCCGUGAAUACCCCGCCGCCCGUAGAGCCCCAACACCGGG
rnacentral:misc_RNA from 1 species